AAUAGGUUGGCUGAAUGACUAAGUCUGUAUCUUGAAAAUACACCAUAAAGGUUUAAACCCUUUACCUAUUU
rnacentral:tRNA from 1 species